rnacentral:misc_RNA from 1 species
AAGUCGUAACAAGGUCUCCGUUGGUGAACCAGCGGAGGGAUCAUUAAAGAGUUAUUACAACUCCCAAACCCAUGUGAACCUUACCUUUGUUGCCUCGGCAGGUCUGCAGCUUACCCUGUGAGACCCUACCCUGUAGGGACCUUACCUGGUAGUCGCAGGUAAAACUUGCCGGUGGUCUACUAAACUCUGUUUACUAUGUUAUUCUGAAUAAUUAUAACUAAAUAAGUUAAAACUUUCAACAACGGAUCUCUUGGUUCUG